rnacentral:rRNA from 1 species
AUUGAACGCUGGCGGCAGGCCUAACACAUGCAAGUCGAGCGGAUGAAGAGAGCUUGCUCUCUGAUUUAGCGGCGGACGGGUGAGUAAUGCCUAGGAAUCUGCCUGGUAGUGGGGGGUAACGUUCCGAAAGGAACGCUAAUACCGCAUACGUCCUACGGGAGAAAGCAGGGGACCUUCGGGCCUUGCGCUAUCAGAUGAGCCUAGGUCGGAUUAGCUAGUUGGUGAGGUAAUGGCUCACCAAGGCGACGAUCCGUAACUGGUCUGAGAGGAUGAUCAGUCACACUGGAGCUGAGACACGGUCCAGACUCCUACGGGAGGCAGCAGUGGGGAAUAUUGGACAAUGGGCGAAAGCCUGAUCCAGCCAUGCCGCGUGUGUGAAGAAGGUCUUCGGAUUGUAAAGCACUUUAAGUUGGGAGGAAGGGCAGUAAGUUAAUACCUUGCUGUUUUGACGUUACCGACAGAAUAAGCACCGGCUAACUUCGUGCCAGCCGCCGCCGUAAUAC